AUAGCUGGUUCUCCUCGAAAUAGCUUUAGGGCUAGCCUCGAGCUGGAGUCUAACGGAGGUAAAGCACUGAACUGACGCGGGGCCCAAAAAGGUUACCAACUCAUAUCAAACUAAGAAUGCCGUCAAGAUACCCUCGGGAGUCAGUCUGCGUGAGAUAAGUCGCGUGGACAAAAGGGAAAGAGCCCAGACCGACAGCUAAGGUCCCAAAGUACGUGUUAAGUGGAAAAGGAUGUGGGAUUUCAUAGACAACUAGGAUGUUGGCUUAGAAGCAGCCAUACAUUUAAAGAGUGCGUAAUAGCUCACUAGUCGAGAAAACCUGCGCCGAAAAUGUAACGGGGCUAAAACACGACACCGAAGCUACGGAUUUCCUACAAGGUAGGAAGUGGUAGAGGAGCAUCCUGCAAGGACGAAGCCAAAGUGAGAGCGAUGGUGGACGAAACAGGAGAGAGAAUGCCGGAAUGAGUAGCGAGAUACAUGUGAGAAACAUGUAGGCCGAAUAUCUAAGGAUUCCUGGGUAAAGCUAAUCUUCCCAGGGUUAGUCGGGGCCUAAGGCGAGGACGAAAGUCGUAGUCGAUGGAUAACAGGUUGAUAUUCCUGUACUACACAUAAUCAGAACUGUGGGGACGCAGGAGGAUAGGGAAACCGGGGAAUGGAAAGACCCGGUCAAGCGUAAAGCUGUGAGAGAUAGGCAAAUCCGUCUCUUGUAAGUGAAACGUGAUGAGGACUGAAAAAAAGUAAGGAAGUUUCCGAAUCCACACUGCCGAGAAAAGCCGCUAUUGCGUUAUGUGUACCCGUACCGUAAACCGACACAGGUAGAUGAGGAGAAAAUCCACAGGCCGACGGGAGAAGUGUUGUUAAGGAACUCGGCAAAAUGACCCCGUAACUUCGGGAUAAGGGGAGCCUCGCAAGAGGCCGCAGAAAAGAGGCACAAGCAACUGUUUAGCAAAAACAUAGGUCUAUGCGAAACCGUAAGGUGAAGUAUAUGGGCUGACGCCUGCCCGGUGCUGGAAGGUUAAAAGGAGAGGUCAGCGUAAGCGAAGCUUUGAAUUCAAGCCCCAGUAAACGGCGGCCGUAACUAUAACGGUCCUAAGGUAGCGAAAUUCCUUGUCAGGUAAGUUCUGACCCGCACGAAAGGCGUAAUGAUUUGUGCACUGUCUCGACAACACGCCCGGUGAAAUUGAAGAACCAGUGAAGAUACUGGUUACCCGCAACAGGACGGAAAGACCCCAUGGAGCUUUACUGCAGCCUGAUACUGGGAUUCGAUGAUAUAUGUACAGGAUAGGUGGGAGGCUAAGAAGCGAGAACGCUAGUUUUCGUGGAGCCGCCGGUGGGAUACCACUCUUAUGUCAUUGAAUUUCUAACCUGCAUCCGUAAUCCGGGUGAGGGACAAUGUCAGGCGGGCAGUUUGACUGGGGCGGUCGCCUCCUAAAAGGUAACGGAGGCGCUCGAAGGUCACCUCAGAAUGAUUGGAAACCAUUCAAAGAGUGUAAAGGCAAAAGGUGGCUUGACUGCGAGAGCGACGGCUCGAGCAGGUACGAAAGUA
rnacentral:rRNA from 1 species